rnacentral:lncRNA from 1 species
AUGGCGAUGCUCAUUUUUGCUCAGCUCCUCUGCAGCACCACUCACACGUUGCAAUCACUUUGCCAAGUCCAGGACUUCCUGGGGACAUCUGGACAUUUCUUUUUGGAGCCAGACUUGCCCGUGCAAGAAGACUUCGUGAGCCAGGUGCCUUGGUGGAUGCGAUGGAAAAGCACCUUUCCCAAUGAAAAACGGAGCCCUGCUCCGUGCCAGAGCCCAGCUUGCAGCAGCUCUCAGCCUUCCAGGAGGCUGCCAAGAAACGGGUCAUUUUGGGCUGUAUUUUUAGCUCGCUGGCACCUGCCCAUGAGGAACGGAGCAGAGAAAGAAACCCAGAGAAAAAUCCAGCAAAAUGAGUUUUGAAGUCCCCUACUGUGCCUGCAGAGAGGAGAGGCAGGGACUUGCUGGUGUCCCUGGGUGCCUUGUGCCAUCCAGCCAUUAUUUGGGGUUUGGGGAAACGGAGAGGCUGCAAAGCACACUGACUUGCUCCAGGCAUCCUCAGGGUCAGAAACCAAACCCGAAUCAAGCACACGUUGAAUAUUAAAAGUUUGGCAUCCUUGGAUCCGUGUCCCCUGCAUAGCAGCACAGGCACACGUCUCGGCAUCAUCCCUUCAAAUAACCCAAGGCCACCGAGCGUGGCCAGCAGGAGGACCCUUAGGGCUGAUACUUCUUCAAAGAGCAUCUCCCAGUCCAUAAAUAUUUCUGCCCGACUGCAGGACAAAGCAUAAUGUAUAAAAGAUUGAAUAGGAGAUAUAUUAUGCUAUUGCAUACCAAUCCUGUCCUGGGGAAUUUAUGGCUUCGAUAUAUCCGCUGUUAAAGGAGGGAUUCUGGCUGGUGGAGGAAUUCAAUUCAUCUUGAAUCCAUUGCAGACCAUCAAUAUUAUGGUUUGCCCGUUUCAACUGGAAAUGGGAUCAAUUUAAUUUUUAUUUUUGGCUAUUUCUGGUCAAAAAUAAGUUAACUUGAAACCUGUGUUGCACCACUGACAUGGUGCCCACAUGGGCACGUUGAGUCUUGGUUAUGGCUAAAAACUGCCCCAAAAGUGGCAGUGCCCAUUUUCAUGGCAGUGUGCUUGAAAUUUCCCCCGUGCCACUGUAUGUUUGUGCCCAUAGCACCUCUUAAAUGGGUCUGGCUUUUAUCCUGCUCAUUUUUUUUUUAUUUUUAUUUUUUAUGGAACUUGUGCCUUUACGCUCCAUCAAACCUCCCCAGCGUGGAGAUACCUGGGCUCAGCACACGCAGGCUAAGACACAUCUGGAGGGAGCAGUGGGGAGAUGAGGACAAAAUUAAAGAAAAAAGAAAAGGAGUGGGUUUUGUUUUUCCAAAAAGCAAUCUGUUCCAAAGCAAUUACGCCCUGCUACCUGUGCUGAACUUCCUUCUUCUUCAUUGCUGUGACAUUUGCAUGAGAAUGGGAUGAAAAGCAAUUCUUCAGGCAGCAGAUUCCCACCUGUUCUCCCUGCUUCUUCCCUACCCGAAAGGCUUGGCUCCUCCAGCACGGCCCCAGCAGGGAAAUUGAGGCAGACCCAGCUCCCCGGCCCUCCCCUGCCAACUCCUCAAUCCCAAACACGUGCCACAAAAAAAUAAAAAAAUAAAAAAGAAAAAAAAAUAGCUGGUC